AACUCUCUCUGGCUUUCACCCCCAAUCCCGUCCUCAAUCUCCUUCUCCCUUCUCCCCCAAAUCCCUCCCGUUCGGUCGCUGCUCGAGCUUGCUCGGCCUCUUCCCCCCCACCUCCAAAGCCACUACCUCCUCCCAGGAUGGGCAUGAACGGCUGCGGCUUCACCGAGCAAGAGGAGGCAGGACGGCCACAACAACGGCAGUCUGCUCAACCUUGUCCCUGGCUCAUCUUCUUCAUGUAUGGUCCCGUCACAACUUGAGCUCAUUGCACCCGCCGAAGAGAAGAAGAUCAUGGGCUGCCUCCACAUCCUCUUCCACGUUCCUGUCUCUCCCUCCUCCAACUCUUCUUCUUGGUUAUCAAUGGUGAACCGGGGUAGGUGACGGGGAGGGGGAGGUGGAAAUACUUACCUUAGGAGGAGACAGCGGCCAACGGCAGCUCGGCGACUGGAUGCCGUCCUGUUGGAUCAGGACAUGGUCAAGUAACUUACGUUUUGAGAUUAGAUUGUUAUUGCUUUGUACACAAACCCUUCUCUCUCACACAUAUAUCAUAUUUGCAACUUGGUUUAUCCGUACUUCGAUUAGGCGAUUACCCAAUUACAGAUCUACAGAAUACCACGGAUCUCUUGCCUUCUUGCACCAUGCUUCUAUUUAUUGGUACCUAAUAUCAUUUCAUGUGCUUUUGUAUGUUGAUAUUUAGGCUGAAUCUGACUAAACCUGGCUCAGAUUUGCCUAUCGUGAUGGUAAGUAACCAUCAUGCUUAUUUCAUUUCCCAAUUCUUGUGAGAAUCAUUUGUGUCUGUAAGCAUUAGAGGCAAAUUUUACUCUGAAAUAUCAUAUCCUUUGGCUGGCAAAAUACUGAACUUCGAUAGUGGACUCACAAGUAUUUAGAUUUAUCAUAUGUGGGAUAAACUUUGCAGUUAGUGUUAUGCCUUCCUUUUUUUCAUGAGACUGUGCUAUGAAAAGAAUGAGUAAAAGAAUAGUUAUAUGAUGGUAUAUGGUACUCCCUCUGUUUUUAUAUGUAAGGCCACUUCGUAUAAUUUGACUAAUAAAAUAUGUGUUAUAUGACAACAAAAAUAUGUUGUUCGAAACAUCUUUCAAAUAUUAAUCCAAUGGUAUACAUUUGGUGACAUAUAACUCAUAUUUUGUUGUUCAAAUUGUUAAUCAACGUUUUACCUCAAAAUGCGUGGUGGCCUUAUAUUUUUGGGACGGAGGGAGUACAAAAGUUAUUUUUAUGUCACUAUUUUUGCAACUGCUGAUUCAGCUGGUCUAAAAAAACCAUUUCUUAUGCCGAUAAAAAGAAUGAAAUAUUGUCGUUUACAUUGCACAUUUGGCUCGGGAAUCGAUGAAGAAGAGGAUAUGGUGAUGUUCGUGGUGGUCGCUGAAGCGCCUAGGCCCUAGCAGCUGAGAAGCCUUUUGCCUGUACCGAAGUAUUGAGUCCAGAAAAUCCAUGGUGUGCACCUAUCUCGUGAUGUUGGCAGCCUGUUAGGCAGGUACAAAUGUUGGUUAUGUGGCUUUACUCGCACGAAACCUAUGCACGUACGCAACUAUAGCCUAUGCAGGUUCCCUUGCUUCCUCUCUUUCUCCUCGAAGCAUGUCCAUUUCUAAUAUUGCGAAUACUUUGUUUCAAGACCUGAACAGGAGGUUAUUGCACUGCAAUUCAAAUGGAUUUUGUUCAGGAGAGGGUGCCGUGGUGCGCUUUUCGCCAAGUCUGCCAUGUUGUUGUGCUCUGUCUCCUCCCUGGAGCUAAACUUUUUAAGAAGGCAAUGCACUCAUUUGAUGCUACAUGGCGCUGCUAGACGCGAGACAGUUAGGAAAGCAGCCCAUAGUCUAAAUUUAAUAAAAGGAGGCCGCUAUGACCAUCUCCUGUAAAGUGUAGCAGGACAGAGGCACAACGGUGGGGGACGAGGUCUCUAAUGUGUCGUGCUCAACCCCGAUUCGUCUCAAAAAGGACACCGGCCAGCAGCCAACUACCUCGGCGUUGUGGAGCAGUGCCGUCUUCUCAACUCAUGUGCGCCCAUGGUGAUGAACUCCACCGCUGACCACCAUCUAAGGAUGCUCGUGGCGCCGGCCGCAUUAUGUGAGAACAGUUUGAUCUCACUAGAUCGAAGCUCUCUGGAGCGACGUGGCGAUGACAGGUAAUCUCUUUCGACUGUUCACAUGCUUUGUCGGUGAGUUUCUCUCUCCAUAUAUUACAAGGAGUUCCAGGUAUGAAACUUCCAUUGUUGAGGUUCAGCCUUCUGAUUAUUGAUUCUUCUAUUGUUUCUAUACUAUUAAGGUCUCAGCUCAGCUGUGUGUAGCAUUUCACUGUGAUCCACUUUUUCAGUAAUCAGUACCAAUGAUCAGUUCAGGAGAGAUGAACAUAAUAUUGAGAAAACUGGGAGCUACAUGCUAACAGUGAGCUUAAAAUAUUUAUCUUUUCUGUACCCAUGUUCCCCUCGGCUGUUUUUGGACUACUAUGGAAUUAGUGAUUCGUGCUUAUUUUUAGUCCCAUUUAGUGUUUCAGAUGUAGCUUGAUUUACGUUUCUGUCCUUCUUAUAUGUCUGCUCCAGAUUGAUCUAUAUACUGGUUUACUUAGUUUUGAUGUAGCUAGGAAGGAUUCUGUGAGCGUCAUGGAGGGAAAACAUAAUGUUUGCACAUUGUCUUCUGAAUACGGCUCAUAAAUAUAGAGAUAACUUAAUCUUCUUUUGAUUUGUUGGGCAGUGAGGAUAUAUUUUUGGAAUGAUUGGUAUUGGCGCUGCAGAAGCAUUUCCUUCAAUUUUCUAGACUUCAGACAUGGAGUUGAUGAUUAUGCUACCAAUCUGAUACAUCAUACAACCCCAUUAAAUAUAUCUUUGUAACUAGCGGUAUCUUUCACGGUUCCUGAUUUGACGUUGUUCCCUUUUGAAAGUAGCUAUUUCUGUGGUGUCUAGGCAAUAGAGUACGAAAGUAAGACCUACAAUGUCUACUACCCCUGCAUCUGUGUUGCUGCUAAAGCGAGAGCGCUCGUAGGCCUAAUGGUGCAGCAAUUGAGAUUUUAUCUCAUUUCUUAGUUUCUUCUCUGCCCUGAUUUUACCCCAAUUCUUUCCUCUUUUUAGUUAUUUCGUUCGUUUUGUUUAUUUUUACUGUGCUUCUAUUCACUGAUUUAUUUUCCUCUUUAUCCUUUCCUGUGUGCCUUUUCAAUUUCUACUUUCUCACAUGAUUGAAAAUUUGUUUCUUUUGCUUUUUUGCUUGAUAUGGUUUCUUUGUUCCAUUUUCUUUGCAGGUUGUUGUCUUGCUGGAGAUUGUUGCCCGAGAGCUUAGCGGGUGGCAUCUUUACGCUUUUGCUGGAUUUAGGAUCCUGCCUUAUUGCCGGGUCAAUUUUCUUGGGAAGGCAGUGGCGGUGCCUUAUGUCCAGGUUCCUAAUGGAAUGUAUGCCUUUUCCUUCAUGCCGCAAUCCUCGAAUAAUUUACAUGAAGGUGGCGAGUGAUCUGGUCUUGGAUAUAUAACAUCACCGCUUGUGCAUAGCCCAAAAAUAUCCAGCCAUUUUUUGAUUUCUAAAGACCAUCUCCUGCUACCACCAUUUUUUUCAUGCAGCUCAGCGCCUAUUCUUGCAGAAGCACAAGCAAAGUGUGAAUAGUUCGAUACAUUUGCAUGUAUUGUGAUCAGUGAGGUCAUCCUAGCGUAGCCUGUUAAGAACUAUUGACCCUUUUAGUUUGAUCUAAUUAGAACUAGCUGGAUUGUGCUUAAUGAUAGAGGAAAUGAUGUCAACAUGUAGCCUACAUUUUAAAAUCAGGAGGAAGAUGAAAUAGGUUAAGUGGACUGGUAUUGGUAUCCGCAUAAGUUUCUUUACAUAAGUAUCAAACUAAAUAUCAAGUUUUUUAGCACCUUAUCUACAAUUGGACCUGACACCUAUGAAAGGAAGGUAUGUCUUACCCUUCAUGCUGGUAGAAUUGGUGAAGAUGGGUAACCAAUACACAAAAGUUUAUUUUUCCAGUAACCACUACUUCUACCUCCUGAUUAGAUACCACCUUCUGAAGCUUUAUUGUCAACACAACCUAGAUAAGUACAAAACUGAACAAUUAUGUAUGCGAUCGUCUAAUCUACUGACUGACUUUGAUACCUAUUAUAUAAGGGCAAUCAUCAGAACUUAUAGAUAAAAGAGAGCUUUAUCCUUUCAGCCUUUCAGCCUUUCAAGUAUACUUGGCUCAAAUUAGUCUUAGAAUAUCUGAAACUACUUCCGUAUGCACAAUUAUUUUCCAAAGCUUCUCUGCUAAAAGACAGCAAGUUUAGCAGUGCAUGUGCAUAUUUUUUUAACAAAUACUCAACUAAGACAUGGUCAUUGUGGAGUGAAUUUGCCUUGUGGGUGAUCCUUUUUCCACCUUUGCUACCGUGGAACAGAGCUCUGCUUCUUCAUUUAUGAAAAAUAUUCCAUCAAUUCUAUUAACUACUACUUUUCUAAUGAUCGUCCAGCUAUACUAUGACUUAGCUAAUUGUAGUAUUGCUCAUGCUCUUCGAGACCAUUCAGAUUUUGGAACUACAAAGAUGCUAUCCAAAAAAUAUGAAUACAAAGCAAGAGAAUGUGCUCAACUUUUCCCUAACUUAUUAACAUUUAUCAUUGCUCAACCUGAUGUGUCUCUUUAGUUUUCAACAUUUCUCAGGUGACGCAUGAAAAGUUUAUUAUACCAUAAGGUUGCUGACGUACAAACCAUGGGCUGAUGUAUCACCCAAGAAGAAGAAGGCAGUACUCCAACAGUCGUCCAACAGAUUAUGAGGUGUGAUCAUCAGUAUCGCUUCCUCUCUUGUUUCCAUGUAGGUUAUCAGGCCAUUUAUGGAUGAUGUUUGGUCUUAAUCUAUGUGUAGUAAGUAAUGGACACCUCUACUGACAAAUUUAGUGGGAACCUUGUGUGUAUGUACAUAUUGUUAUUUCAGAACCAUAUGAUCAAUUUAACUCUA